rnacentral:tRNA from 1 species
UGUUCUGUAGCUUAGUUGGCUAAAGCGCCGAACUAACAAUACGGACUUGUUGGUUCGAAUCCCACCAAAACAA